rnacentral:rRNA from 1 species
GACGAACGCUGGCGGCGUGCCUAAUACAUGCAAGUCGAACGCAGUGGCGGACGGGUGAGUAACACGUGGGUAACCUGCCCUGCACUUCGGGAUAAGCCUGGGAAACUGGGUCUAAUACCGGAUAGUGUGGGUUGGGCCCGGGGCCUAUCAGCUGGUUGGUGGGGUAAUGGCCUACCAAGGCGGCGGCGAGUAGCCGGCCUGGGAGGGGGGACGGCCGCAGUGGGACUGAGAGACGGGCCAGACGCCGACGGGAGGCAGCAGGGGGGAAUAUUGCACAAUGGGCGGAAGCGUGAGGUAGCAAGGCCGCGUGGGGGAAAACGGCCUUCGGGUGGUAAACUCCUAUCACCAACGACGCGGUAGAUGGAGAAGAAGCACCGGCUAACUACGUGCCAGCAGCCGCGGUAAUUC